rnacentral:rRNA from 1 species
GAUGAACGCUAGCGGCAGGCUUAAUACAUGCAAGUCGUGGGGCAGCGCAGUGUAGCAAUACAUGGGCGGCGACCGGCAAACGGGUGCGGAACACGUACACAACCUUCCUUCAAAUGGGGAAUAGCCCAGGGAAACUUGGAUUAAUACCCCGUAAUAUUAUGAGGUGGCAUCACUUUAUAAUUAUAGCUCCGGCGUUUGAAGAUGGGUGUGCGGCUGAUUAGGUAGUUGGUGAGGGUAACGGCCCACCAAGGCGACGAUGGGUAACCGGCCUGAGAGGGUGAACGGUCACAUUGGAACUGAGACACGGUCCAA